rnacentral:rRNA from 1 species
AUGCAGUUCUGGUCGGUUGAAGGGGCGGAGGAGAUCCUGGGCAAGCGUGUGCGCAUCGACCGCCUCGACAGCCGGACCCAUGAGCGCGGCCACACCAAGACCUUCGCGUGCUGGGUAUGGACCAGCGAUGUCGCCAACAUCCCCACCAAGCAUUCGCUGGGGGUGUUGUCGCGCGGUGUUGGUCGGGUGGAAGAGAUGGAGGGUUUCUCUCCCCCCGACAGGCGGGUGGCUCCCCCGCCAACCGCUGCUGACUACACCAUGCUCAUCCACGUCGAUCGUGUUGAAGAUUGGACGCCGCCCUCGCCGCGCUCUUCCCGCUCUGGGCAGAGCGGG